rnacentral:sRNA from 1 species
AAAAAUUGAACAAAAAAA